rnacentral:tRNA from 1 species
GCAAGUAUAGUAUCAACCGAAACAUUAGGCGGUGAUCCUCAAAAUAGAUGUUAGACCCUCCUUGCUUGCC